rnacentral:rRNA from 1 species
GAUGAACGCUGGCGGCGUGCUUAACACAUGCAAGUCGAACGAUGAAGCCCAGCUUGCUGGGUGGAUUAGUGGCGAACGGGUGAGUAACACGUGAGUAACCUGCCCUUAACUCUGGGAUAAGCCUGGGAAACUGGGUCUAAUACCGGAUAGGAGCGUCCACCGCACGGUGGGGGUUGGAAAGAUCUAUCGGUUUUGGAUGGACUCGCGGCCUAUCAGCUUGUUGGUGAGGUAAUGGCUCACCAAGGCGACGACGGGUAGCCGGCCUGAGAGGGUGACCGGCCACACUGGGACUGAGACACGGCCCAGACUCCUACGGGAGGCAGCAGUGGGGAAUAUUGCACAAUGGGCGAAAGCCUGAUGCAGCGACGCCGCGUGAGGGAUGACGGCCUUCGGGUUGUAAACCUCUUUCAGUAGGGAAGAAGCGAAAGUGACGGUACCUGCAGAAGAAGCACCGGCUAACUACGUGCCAGCCGCCGCAGUAA